GUUAUCGGAAAUGGUGAAGUGUAGAAAGAAACUGGGCGGUAGUGAUAACCCGUAGGUGUGUCAGUUCGGUGGUUUUUUCGCGUUACUUUUUAUUUAAUUAACGAAUCCAUGAGUGUGCCGCCUGAAAGGAUCGAUGGUAGGCCCUUCAAUUUGCUUGAAUAAUUGAAUCGAGUGAUUUUACCAGACACCGGAGGGGUAAAAACACCCGUGGGACCCCAAAAUCUCGGGCAAUUUGGACUCCGCAGGUGAAUUUCACUCGAAAAGUCGAUUUUUCAGUUGGAUUAAGGCCCUUAAAUCACAUUAUAAUUCCUACAAGUUGUUAAUUAGAUAAUUAAAGGCCCGACAGUUGAAACAAUUGAAGUGGCACCCGGUAGAUUAAUUGGAGUGAGUGAGAAAAUUGUUGGAAAGCCCCGGGAUCAUCGUAAUUAGAGAAUUUAAUUGAGUUGAUUGACCAGUGGCCGGUUAAUUGAGAAAAAUAGACGAAAAAUGAGUGGAAAAGAAGUGGAUUCGAAGUGUCCCCGUGUGAAAAGCCGAUCGGAGAUGUCAGUGGGUUACCCGGAGGCGGCAUGAGACACCGGAAAUAUCGUACAUUGCCUCUGAAAAUGUUUUUAUUUAUAAUUUCCGGGAAAAUGAGAUAGAGUGAGAAGCAGUUGUGCAGUUUUUGUUGGGGAAAUUAAUUAUUGCCGGAUUGAUUUGAUUCGAUAGUGUCAGUGGCGCACUGGGCGCACUGUUAAAAUGUGGAAUAUGAUGUGCGAUGUGAUGCCAACAAUUGCUGAGGACAGCAUCAGCCAGAGGAGUUCACAGUUCUCCGGGGACGAUGCUAAUUUCGAGCAGCUCAUGGUGUCGAUGCUGGAUGAGAGGGAUAAACUCAUGGAUUCGCUCAGGGAGAGCCAGGAGAGGCUCCAGGAGGCUGAGGCCAGGCUGCAGGACGUCGAGAAGGAGAGGGAUGCGCUCAAUCGACAGAUGAAUGCUAAUAUUCCUCAGGAAUUUUCGCAACUGACGAAGGAACUCUCAGCAGCCCGUGAGAAUAUACUCGAGCGAGAGGAAGAAAUCUCGGAAUUAAAAGCAGAGCGUAACAACACUCGGCUUCUACUCGAACAUCUGGAAUGUCUGGUGUCACGUCACGAAAGGUCACUGAGGAUGACAGUAGUGAAGAGACAAGCUGCAGCCCAGUCGGGUGUCUCGUCCGAGGUCGAGGUCCUCAAGGCACUCAAGAGCCUCUUCGAGCAUCACAAGGCCCUGGACGAAAAGGUACGAGAGCGAUUAAGAGUCGCACUGGAGAAAAAUACGAGUCUCGAGGAGGAGCUAUCACGUACCAAAGACGAGCUCCAGCAAUACAAAGCUGCUGGACAUCUCAAGACUCUCGAGGACAGACCCAAAGAGAAUGGCCAGACUGAUGAGAGCCAGAGCAAGAAUGAAACUGAAACAGCUAGCCAGGACCAACAGGAGGUGGUAUCAACUGUUAUUGAGUUUAAUGAUGAGAGGAAAAUGGAGAGUGGAAAUAGACUGAGCAACGGUGGUCUCGAUACCUCUGACCACGAAUCGGCUGCACGUGUUAUUGACUUGCAGUCGACUGUUGAGAAACAGAGUGUAGAAUUGUCAACAUGGCAGCGUCGAGUUGGUGAACUCGGUGGUCGUGUGGCAGAGCUCGAGGAGACUCUUUCCAAGGCACAGAAGGACCUCGUGAAAACCCAGGAAACAAAUGUCAAACUCCAACGAGAUUUACGUGAAAAUGUAGCACAAAAGGAGGAUCAGGAGGAGAGAAUUGCAACGCUGGAGAAGAGAUAUCUGAAUGCCCAGAGAGAAUCCACUAGUCUCCACGAUCUGAAUGAAAAAUUGGAGCAAGAAUUGCAGCACAAAGAGGCACAGCUCAAGCUGCAAGAGGAGAAGAUAGCAGCUAUUCAAGAGAAACUAGAGCUUGCUGAACAAAAAUUGGCUGGUUAUCCAAAAUUACCAGAAAUGGAAGAGCAAUUGAAGGCUAGGAUGGAGGCACUGACCCAGGUGAGGAGGCCCAAUCAGCAGGCGCAGGAGAGACAUGGCAGUGCUGAAGACAGGAUUCAGAGACUGGAGGGACAACUCGAGGAGAAAAAUGCUGAGGUUAUGCGCCUCAAUCAACGAUUGAAAAUGAAUGAGGAGCAUAACACGAGGUUGAGCAGUACUGUUGAUAAACUACUGUCAGAAUCGAACGAGCGCCUGCAGGUGCACCUCAAAGAGCGCAUGCAUGCCCUGGAGGAGAAGAACGCCCUCACCCAGGAGCUCGAGAAGACUCGAAAGAUCGCCGAAGACCUUCAGAACGAGAAAUCGGAGAUAAUGAAGGAGCUUGGCAAAGCUCGAUUGGAAAUAGAUAACGUCAAGAGGCAGAUGUUACAGCAGGAGAUAGCUUUCAACAUCCAGCAGACCGAUGCCCUCACCAGAAGCUUAUCACCAAAUGCAGUGGAGCCAGCCUCGUCGUCAAGAUCAGCUAGUCACAGUUCCUUUGACACUCACUCCCUUCCCAGACGGGGUAAACGCCUCGAGGACGAUGGGACCAAGGGUUACGUUGCCAGAACACUUGCCGAACAGGAGUGGGAGAAGCUUCAACAAGCUCAUGUCCUGGCGAAUGUCCAACAGGCAUUUGAUGUGUCGUCCGAUGCUGAGGGCGAUGGCGACAACGAGAGUAUUUUUUCAUCAGCUGCUGAUGUUAUUAGCCCCAGCGGACAUACUGAUGCACAGACACUGGCGAUGAUGCUCCAGGAGCAGCUCGACGCCAUCAACAUCGAGAUUAGGCUCAUUCAGGAGGAGAAGCAGAGUACUGAGGCCAGGGCUGAGGAGCUCGAGAGCAGGGUUGGCAGUCUUGAGCACAUGAACCUUCUGGCCAGGGGAAGGAGUCUUGAGAGGGCGUCUCCUCCUUUGAGUGGAAGGUCCACACCCAAGAGUCAUCACAGCCCCAAUAGGGAUUAUCUUCAUAAGUAUCAUACGUUGCAGUUGUCCGGGGAGGAGUUACACUCGGUUAGUGAACGUGACAGUGGAGGCGGUGGUAGUGGAGGGAGUGAAGCUGCAUCACCACUGACAGCAAGAUCCCUGAGACUGGAGAGAGUCGUUCAGGCAUUGGCGCACAGCCAAGAGGAGCUCAGGAGGCGCACCGGACAGAGCGGAUUUCCUAGCGCCGGAUACUCCACUCACAGGCAUGGGCAUCAUAACAACGGCACACUGAAUUCUGGAACACCACCUUCACCAUUGUCUUCACGUCAUAGUAGCCAGGACAGUUUGCACAAGAACAGUUUUGGAAGUGUUGGCCUGCCCAUUGGACAAUUGUCGAGCUCUCAUUUGCAUAUGCCGUCGACGAUGAGUCCUGCUACAGCAGCUGCUGUUGCUGCUGCGCAGAAGAAGAAGGGAAUUAAGAGCAGUCUUGGGAGAUUCUUCAGCAAAAAGGAGAAGAUUAAGGGGAAGGAUACAACAAUGCCCGGAGACGUUCCCGGGAUGGGGGGAGCGUGUACACCGGCGGAUCCUGAUUAUGGGGAUAAUGUCUCCGUUGCUGGGACGCUGGGUGGAAAGAGUGAUUUCGAUCGAAGGAAAAAGAAAAGCAUGCUGGACUCAUCUCGUCAUGAGCUUCUGGGCGAAGCUAUGAAAGCAGGCACUCCAUUUGCUCUCUGGAAUGGCCCCACGAUAGUCGCCUGGCUGGAGCUCUGGGUGGGAAUGCCAGCUUGGUACGUAGCAGCCUGUCGUGCCAACGUCAAAAGUGGUGCCAUUAUGUCAGCCCUGAGUGACACAGAGAUUCAACGAGAAAUAGGCAUCAGCAAUCCUCUCCACAGACUCAAAUUGAGACUCGCCAUUCAGGAGAUGGUCUCACUGACCUCUCCAUCAGCUCCAAAAACAUCCAGAACAACUCUUGCUUUUGGGGAUAUGAAUCACGAGUGGAUUGGAAAUGUUUGGCUGCCAAGUCUUGGCCUGCCGCAGUACAGAUCCACAUUUAUGGAGUGCCUUGUUGACGCACGAAUGCUCGAUCAUCUUACCAAGAAGGAUCUGAGGGGACAACUCAGAAUGGUGGACAGCUUCCACAGGACGAGCCUCCAGUAUGGAAUAUCUUGCCUCAAGAGACUUAAUUUCGACCGACAACAGCUCGAGGACAGGAGGAGAAUGGCUGAGGGGGCCAAUGUAGAUGUCAUCGUUUGGAGCAAUGACCGAGUCAUCAGAUGGGUUCAAUCUAUCGGACUCAAGGAGUAUGGGAACAAUCUCUUGGAGUCCGGAGUACACGGAGCUCUCGUGGCCCUUGACGAGAGUUUCGAUGCCAAUGCAUUCGCCCUGACCCUUCAGAUACCAACGCAAAAUGUUCAGGCAAGACAAGUCCUCGAGAUGGAGUUUCAGAAUCUCCUGACAGUGGGUACUGAGAGACGAUCGGAGGAGAACAGCAUGAAGUCCUGAUCAAACCUACCACCUAGGUCAUUACCACGUCAUCAGCCCCAUCACGUCUAGUCCAAUAAUCCCAACAACAUCCCAAUCCAUUCCCAGAUUAAACCUCUGUGGAGGUGGAGUUAACUGAUACGACCUCAGUCCUCAUGAGGAGUUUUUUCAUAUCGAAUUUUCUACGGUUCGAGAUUUCCCGGUCCUGCUGGGAUAUUUCAGUGGAGUUGUGAAUGUCCACGAGCCGUUUUUCGGAAAUUUGAGUGAGUCUCCGAUGGAGCUCGGUGUUGGGAACGAUGAGACGGGAGAAGGUGCGUCGGUUGAGCUGGAGGAGUUCACAGGUCUCGAUGGCGAUAACCGAGACUUCCCUGGGAUAGUUCUGGUGGAGGAGGGAGAGUUCACCGAAGUGGCUGCCAUCAACCAGGUGAUCUAACUAAAUUUUGGAACGAAAGCAGGAAAUGAGAAAAGUCAAUUUGUUUACGUGACCCCUCUGGAAGCCUCCACUUAUCGUCACCAGCCCCUCGAUAACAAUUUACCUCUUUUCCCAGGGAAUUUAUCACAGCGACAGUUCCACUCGAUAUAAAAUACAUGCACUCCCCCUCAUCCCCGUACCGAUAGAUUACGUCGUUCUCUAGGUAAAUGACAGGCGUCAUCGAGUCUGAAAAUAAAAAUGUCCACAUGAUCCGCACCAUCCAUUCACACCAAUCGUUUCACAGAAACUGUUCAAUAAAUUCACUCAAUAGAUUCGCCAGAAGAGUUCUAGGUAAAUUAUGAAGGACCGUGGCUGUCUCCAGGAGACCCCGAUUCGACCUGACAUUGAUCUCGAGCCUCAGAUGAUUCGAUAAAGUACUAGCUAUCGCGUUCUCCUUGAAGUAACUCCCCUCGUAUCUGUACUCAUAGUAUUUAAUCAAUCUGUCACCUAGAUCUUUCGAUAAAUUUUUAUCCUCUAUGUAUUCCUUAACUCGGCUCAUUAUCAAUUGGUACUUGAGCUCAGGCUCAGCAGAUGACUCAAUCAGUUGUAAGAAAACAACUGCAAGUAAUGGAACAAUUAUGAUUGAUUUGUUAUCGGUUUUUUCAAUCAUAAUUCAGUCCAUAAUUUUACCAAUGAGAUAAAUCAGAUAUCCGGUCCCCAGUAGCAGCAGAACACACCUGACGAUUUUGUCACUCGUGGAAGUGUCCAGGAGCUCCAUAAAAUUAGAUCCAACUAGAUUACUCAAUCCCAUGUGCAAACUGAACAGGUAAAUGUACCAAGAAUUCUCCUGAUAAAUUCCAUUCUUCACGACAUGAGCAUCGGAUCUCUCGAUCCUCUCGCGCGUGGCGUACAAAGUUACGAACGGGAAUCCCCAGGUGAGGCAGGCACUCCAGUGGAGUAUGAGAACACUUAGUAGUGACAACCAAACCGUUAUAUCUACAACGGAACUGUAGCCACAUAUGGCAAUCAGCUGUUUUAUGUAAUGUCUCAAUGUCGAUAUCCGUAAUAUCUUGAGCAGGGGUAGUAUUUCCGCUAUGAAUUGUAGGAAAUUGACCUCAGGGCCGGGGGGCUCGAGGUGGGUGGAGGUGAACCAGGAGUAAGGUAUCGAAGUUAUCAGGUCGAGGAGGAAAAAUCCACCUGUAUAAUGCCUGGCAAAAUUUGAGGGAUCAAUUUUUUGUUUUAUGAUUUAUCUAAUUGAACUCAUAUCACGCCAAUGAUUUACGGUCCCAUUCCGGUGGGGUCAACGACCCCUUGAUAAUUUAAUGUUCUCAAUUGUAAUAUUGCGCUGAGUCGACCAGGAAUAUAAUUAAUAUUUUUUUUGUACAACUCAGAAGUGCUGAGUUGUCCUGAAAAAAAAAAUCCGAAUUAUUUAUCACCUGGCUAUCACUCCCGGCUCCAAUUCGAUCUCCAUCGCCUCCUCGUCCCGAAAACCCGUGAAAAAACUCAUGAAAAUAUCCAUGAGACACACCCCAAACACCGGAUUCACGUACUCAGAGCUCUCGGAUGUCUCUCGUCCACAAAUUCUGAAGAAGCAUUUGACGUAAGGUACCGCAAUGAAGUAAUAAACCAGCGUGAGGGUCAUCAAAUAAUCCCAGAGAAGUCUCAGGCGACUGAAGGGAUGAACGACCCACCAGUUUUUCGAUCUCCAGUGCCUCCUCUUCUCCGCGGAAAUGACCCCCCGACUCCGGAGGUAAAUUGAGUACGGGUGGUGCUCAGAGACGAUUAUGAGCUUUUGGAAGGAUCUCUUGAGGCGGGGGAUCAAUCUCGCGUUUGGAGGAAGCCUCGGGAGAGUGCUUCCGGAGGUUUUUGUGAGAUGACAGUGGUGUUGGAAGGCUCUUGAAGAGGUCUUUAAUGAUGAGCCUCGACGAACUUGAUCGGAGCUGCUACCUGACCAUGACAAUCGCCUCAUCUUGAUAAUAACAGGGGAAUGAACUACCUUUGUAGUUGGUUUUCAAAUUUUAGGGCUUUAUGGGUUAAUCAAUUUGCAACUUAAUUAUCUUCAAUAUACCUUAUAUAUUUCUGUAUAUCCUCCUCAUAAAAUUCGUUAUAUUAAUAAAUAAUAGAAAUGCCAUAGAAUAACGGUAUCCACUCGCUGGAUAAAAUUGCUCCCCGAAUCACAUGAGUUAUAAUUCUUAAUUAUUUCACAAGGCCAUGUAAUUGAGUUCCUACGUCAACAAACUGAGGAAUUCAUAAAAACAAAUGAACGUUGUUCUUGAUAUCGAUGUAUAUCACCUUUUGGGGGCAGAGAUCGCGACGAAUAUUUUCAGGAGAAUUAUGGAUUCUUAUUACUGAUUAUGAGACUAGUCAGUAGUGGAAACUGUCUGAUUAACCAGAGAUUUCAGAGGUUUUAAUUAUUCGUAAUUUUUCACACAAUUUUCUUUACGAUAUCUCAAUGGAAAAUUCUCGGAAUGUCGCUGUUCCCCCUGUUCGUCAAUGCCCAUUAGACCUCCGAUUUAUCUCAAAUAUUUUUACUCAACCAAAAAUACCGAAAACCGAAGCCCUAGAUAAGAUUCCCCGAGUUGGCCUCAUCCUCGCUCUCCUCGGCUCCCCUCGCCUGCCUCUUCGGCUUAGGCACCGGAUUGACCUCGGGUUUCUGCUUGAUGGGCUCUGAGAUGUGGAGCUCAAUGACUUUCACCGGCUCCUUCGGCUCCGUAAGUUCCACUGGAGAAUCACCCAGCCGAACGAUCUUAAUCUCCCUCAUCUCCCUUGGCAGCUCCUUAAGCUCAAUCUUGAGGUCGUCACUUCCGUUCCUCGUUAAAUCCCGGAAGAAGUUCCUUCGUGUCUCCUGGAGGCUUCGUCUGCUGCCCCCUCGCUCCAGCUGGGGAAGGGAAGCCUCUUCGUCUAGUGACGAUGUGAAUGAAGUUGUUCGCGUUCGCAGCUUUCUCGACUCCAAGAGCUUUAUCUGUUUCUCGAUCUUCUCGAUCUCCUCCUUCACCGAGAAACUGUCGCUUCCGGGGAGGCUCGAUGAACUCCUCUUGCGCAUUACCACGUCCUCGUCGUCGUCAUGAAUUAUGGAGACGUCCUUGAUUAUCUCAAGGGGCUCCUCGGACGGCGUUCGGGUGAAUUCAAUUUCAAGUCCUGUCUCAGGGUCUUCAUCAGGGGAACUCCUCUCCGGGGGAUUUUCCUCGAGUCUCUCUUCCGGGGGUCGGGGACUCGGCGGCCUCUCUGGGAGGAUUUCACUCUCUUGGAUGACGAUUUUUGGGGCCUGGGGGGGUGGAGACGGGUUGCUGGGUUCCUUCGGGGAUUCUUUGGGUUCUUCAAGCUGCUUCGUUCGCUCGGUCAUCUCGGUGAUGUCCUCCGCUACUCUCGCGAUCUCCUGGGGGUCCGGAAGCGCCUCCUAGGGGGAUUCGAUUAAUGACACAAGACUGAACGUUGCAUAUAAUUUUUUUACAUGAUUACAGGUCUAAUAAUUCUCGGAAAAUUGAAAGAAAUUUUUCAUACUUUGCCUUGUAAAAAUAUCCGGAUUUUUCAUAUCUUUUUUCAAUUACCUUUGGACUCUCUAAUGGCUCGGGUUUUUUCCCAGGGGGCAAGGGGGCUCUCCUCUUCUUCCUUCCAGACGCGUAGACACUUCCCACAGACAUGCAACUGUUGAUAGACAAGUUGGAUUUUCUUACUGCGUCGUUGCUACACCUCUUGAAGACAAAAUCCUCCGGCAUAUUCUCAUUCUCGUCGGUGUAUUUUUCAUUCCUCAUCUGGACUGGGUCGUCAUCGCGAUUCUGAAGGGAUAGUCUUUGCGAUGCUCUCACACCUCCUCGUCUGGAAAUUAUUAGUUUUUUUAAUUUAUCCAGGAGAGAAAUGGAAUUAAUGAAUGUAUCCCCUUCCCUCAUCGUUGAUUACAACCAAUCAAAGAAAAUACCGACAAAAAAACAGAUUUUCCUCCCACUGGCUAUAAAGAACCCCCCGCAUAAUAAUAAUCUUACUUCGGUGGAAUAGGCGUUCCAUCAUCCUCUCUAUCAUCACUUUUUUGCCCAUAAUCCAGAGGAGGUAUUUUAUCAGUUGGCUUGGGGCUCACUUGUCCGAACCUGCACCACGAAAAGCACAAAAUGAAGUUAUUUAACAUUCACAAGGAAGCUCUUUCACACUCGAAGACAAAGUCUUCAUCACUCGAAGUGAGAAAGAGCCGGGUUUAUUGCCCAGUUUAUUACUGAUCGCUGACCUUCGAGCUGGCGGUUUGGGAGUGAGAUCACCCAUGAUGGAGGCGGUUGUCUCCUGGGGGCAUCCCUCGUAGAUCCUCCCAGGAUCACCGUUUAUCGUCAAAUUCGAGCUGUACCGAGAGGAAUUGUCCAGCGUGUGCUUUCGCCUUCUGGCGAGAGUACCCAGGGCCUCGUUGAACUCCUGCUGGUCCCGGGAGGAACGAGGAGGUGGUACUGGGUUGCCAUUGUAGCUGGCACGCUGAUAAGUCGAUGAUACUGAGGAGUAACCACUUACUUUACUGUGUUGUUAAGUAAAUUUAACGAGAAUCCGGUUUCUGUAUUUGCCAAGCGUUAUCUGAACUGAUUUUUUUUAUAUCUCGAAAUUUCUACACUGGUGAACGAGGGUAUUGACACAAAGAUCGAAUUCUCUUGGGAAAGAAAAUUAUUUUCAGAUCUCGAAGACAUUGCUCUUCGGAUGAGUCACCGGAGGUUUCAAGUUGGACGAUAUCCCAGUUCUUGAGAAUCAUCAUAGUGCAUGUGAGUUGAAAGGGGUUCCAAGACAAAAAUUAUUCAUCAAUUUUUGUCUUUAGUUAUUUUCCUGGAUUUAAUUCUAAUCUAUCGAUACAUGAUAUAGCGAUUGCAUGAGACGCCAUGUCAAAGUUGUACUGGGGAAGAUUACAAUGGCAUCAGUACAUGUGUAUUCCGGGGUAAAAUCUAAUUCGAGCCCCAAGAGAAUGUGCUCUACGUGUCAGUAUAUUUUUCUAUCAGUGCACUUGAUGAAUUGUCUCUAAGGAAACGAUCUGUUCUCAUCAUGCCGUGCAGAAAAGUAAGUUUAGACAGAGGAAGCUUGCCGGCAACCUUUCUAACUACUAAAAGCUGCAAGCUCAGUCCCAAGAAUAUUUAGGGAGUUCAGAAUUUCAUUGCAGCCCUACUAAUAACUAUUCUAACCUGUUGAUAUCGUCGGACUUCUCUCGUACGACUCCUUCUUCUUACCGAAGAUUCCAUUCCUGCAAAUAGAACGAUUUUUUAAAAAUUCGCAUUCUUUCUCUCAUCAGCCUCUUCACAUCUGGGUCGAUUGGGUCGACAGAUGUAAUCUGUGACACAGAGAGCGUGCAGACGAUUUGCGUCACUAAUCUCAAUGUUUAGAUGACUUGGUCAACAAUUGUAAAAACCAAUGGCGUUCUCAUUUGAUGCACCGAUCAUUUGAGUACAGCAUAAUCGAUCGAAUUAGACGGCCUACUGCAACAUGCCACUUCCUCUCAGUCAGUUUUAAUAAUAGUUGGUAGGAGGACCUUGGAAUGAUGGAAUAAUUUACGAUACUUAAUGACGAGCCCCGUGGCACUCACUGGGAGGUGAAAAUUCUUUGUUUUUUAAUAAUUUCAGACAUUACGUUGCCAUCAUUGUCGAUGAGUGACUGUUCGACUGAAUUAGAUGAAGUGGUUGUUGAGCUUGGACCAGUGCCAGUCGAUACCAAGUUCAUUAUCAAGUUCAAUAGACAUAUUUAACGAAUAAUCUUUUUGGGGAAAUGUCAAUCAAAUGUCUGAAGUUACUCAAAUUUACAGAUGUUGUAAAUAAAUUUUCUAUUUAUUAUGAGGAGGUGCAGCGGCAAAAUUUUUUUCUUUAGUUUAUCGAGAAAAAAAUGUUCGGGCGAUUCAUAUGAUUAAAUUCCAAAACGAUAAUUAAAUAGUGAGAACAUUCGCCCUGUGAUCACUUCCACUUGCUCAUCCCCUAACUUCUGGGAAAAAUUAAAAACAAAUUCUUACCACGUGGAUUUGAUGGAGAAGCUGUGAGAGCGUUUUUUCUUAUUUCUCCCGAAUGUCCAGAAUUUCUUCUUAUCGUCUUUCUCUCUGGUACUGUUCACCGGCAAUUUGUGACUGACUUCCUCGUUAUCAUCUUUGAAUGGAUUGAGAUCCUCUGGGUAAUCGUAGAUUGUGACGCUCGGUCGUCUCGACAUGACUCGAGAACAACUCCCUGCGACUUGUGACAGAUGCAAAUGGGUAUCACGUUCACUCGCGAUUACAUCUCAUUUUGUUUCUCCCCUCUUCUCCUCAUCUCACUGGACUGUUACAUACGCAACAAAUGGAGUUUAUAAUAAUAUUGUUCUUAUUUGUUUAUCGUGAUUUCUAAAAAUAAAAAAGGACAAUUUUGGAGUAUUUUAAUAAACUGGACUGGAAAACCUAAUUAAUUUUUUUCCACGUUUUCUUUCAGAUUGCAGGACAUCAGAGUUCGUGUUUUGCAAAGUAAGGACGUUAAAUGUCAAUUAAAAUAGUAACAAUUUGCUGAUAUACCUCCUGACAGGCUUAAUUAACUAGACCCCAUGCGUAUCCAUCAGCCUCGAGCAUUUUCACGUGCCAUAAAGCACCGAAAUGACAGCUAUCAUCGACCGAUUGAUUUGCGAGAAUAACCAUGAUAAAACAAAUGAUCAGUAGGAAGUUUAAUAGCGUACAAAAUUGAGGGAAUUAUGCCAACGCCCUCAACACACUGAACAUCUGCAAUUCAAAUGAAGACAUUCUCGUUUUUUUAUUGUCUCGGGGUUUGAAUGCGGAGCCGAAGGGGAUAUGUAUUAGGUUACGAUGAACUGACGAGAAAUUUUUCAUUUGAAAUUGUUUUUUAGUUGAGAUAUUCCGGAAAUUAAUACGUUAAAAAUAAAAUGUGAUAAAGCGAUAGAUGAAGCGAUCAAUUGAGUAUUAAAAAUGGAUGAGGGAGUUCUUUGACAUUUGAAGUUGAAUUGAAAAUUAGUUAAUAAUUCGUUGAAUUAACAAACUAAUUCACCUAAUCAUCAGAAGUAUUAAUUUUCCUGCUCAUUACGAUCUCAUACAAUUUCUUAUCAUCAAAUCGAGGGAGAUAAGAAGAUAACUGUGCCACUGUCGUUAUCUCUAUGUUAUUGGCUUUUUACAAAAGAGGAGCCGAAGUCAAUUCGAAAAUUACUGACCAACUGGCAUUGCAAUUAAUUAGAAAAUUCGUCAAGAGGCCAGUGUCUCGGUCGUCUAUAUCCUCCCGGCACCCGGAAUCCUCAGCGGUUUAAACAGUUGUAGUUAUUUUUAAAACUAAAACCGAGCGAGGCAGAUGGAAUGUGUUGGUUUCACUACUGGAAAUGCGGGGGGAAGUCGCGUGAGAAAGCGUUUCGAUCGCUGGUAAAUCGAUUUUCACUCGUUUAGGUAUUAAAGGAGAACAAGUCGGUGAUAUGGGAAAGCAAAAAUUGGUACCAAGAAUUUUGUUUUUCAUUUAGGCAUGAGGGGAUUGAAUAUGAUCAGGUGGAGAACUACUUUUCGAGGGAGGGGUCCCAAUGGUCCCAAAUUAAAUGUAGAAGAAAUGACAGCUUGAAAGCCCUUUGAAUCCUGUAGAAUCUUUUUCAGUAAUUUUCGAAUCCUUUCCUUCAAUCAUCGAUCGAAGUCCGAUCGGUUACUCAUCGCCAAGAUAAUCGUGCUGACGUUAGCGCAAAUAAUCUUCGUUUUAUCUGUUUUAUCAAGACCUCUCAACCAACAUUGUAGUUCCUAAAGCCACAGAAGAUCCCGAAAAAAAAAACAAAUGAUGACUUGAAUGAGAAUUUGAACUCCAAAUGUCGUCAGUCCUCCAAUUUUCGAGGCUCUUUAAAGAUACCAAUAAAAAAAUUUGUUCAUUGUGCUUUGAACGCUUUAAAAAAUCCGACGAAUCGUUUAGAUCUUUCUAUUUUUAUUUUUAUUCGUAUUUUCCGCUUUCUGACAAAAACAUUCUUGUAAGUGCGACAUCAUUGUCGCUCGCAUACCACUUUAAAAACCCACUCGCUUUCAGUACAACAAGAAAUUAUUACGUAAUUGUCUUGGGAUGAAUUGAACUCGUAGGUGUCACCAGUUGGCUCUGAGGUAUUGCACAGAGCUCAUCAAUUAAGACUAAUAAAAAUGCUUCAUCAAUAAUUCAACUGAUUGUUAAACAAAUAUUUUAGAUUUUUUCCCAUUCUCGCUUUGUUAAAUUUUUUUCUUUUGUGUAAAUCGACUGAUUCACACACGACAUCAAUAAAUGAAAAAUUUAUAAAUAUGAUAAUUCAACUCUUUAGCAAUUGUUCAAAGAUCGAGGAAUCAAUUGAAAUCAAUGGAAACAUCUAAAAACUUAAAUGAAUUAUAAUUAAAAUAAGAUAAUAAUUUACCGGAGAUAGAGUGAAAUAAUCCAAAUGAAUGAUAACUAUUGUUUUUUAAAGGAACUUCAACUAUUUGGAGAAUCAAUCUCCGGGUGGUAGGAGGGAGCACUUGUUUUAAAUUCCACAGCAGGAGAUAAUUUCUUGAAUUAUCUACUCCCAGGGGGGAGGGGAAUCCGAAAUUUUUAACGCGGAACAGAAAAUGAUCGGAUGACUUCGGGCAAUGCCGGCAGACUGAGGCAAUAAAUGAUCCAAGAGUCACUUUUCUCCCACUUCAGUGGCUCGAGCAACACCGAGGCCGAACGAAUACCGACUGACUUCGAUUCACGAUUUCUUGGGUGAUUGUUGUUAUUAAGGAGUGAUUAAUGAUUUUUCAAAUUUAAUGUUUUCUCUGGGAAAUGAGUAUAAAAAUUUCCGUGGAUUAUCCUCUCGCGGAAAAAUAUUUUUCAAUUAACUUGUCCAUUCCGUGUAUUUGAUUAUUUUAUGGAUGAGGAAUUAUUAUCAUUUUACUUUUAAGAGAGAAACAAAUGAGAAAAAAAUAUUCCCAAAACUUUAAUUAAUAAUAUUGUGGAGACAGCAUUAUUCUACACGAUUGUUCCAUUUUUUGCAAUUAAACUAAUUUAUAAAUUAAAUGUUAGCGAGUAAGUUAUUUUAUAAAAAUGUAGAACUGAAAUGUUAAAAUUUUUAAUUCGCUUCCCUCCACUGUUCAGAGGUGAAAUUUUUUUUACACACGUUCUAAUUAUUUUUGAGCUGCUAAUUUGCGUUGCACAGAUGAUGACACAAGUGCGUUAAUUAAACCACUCUAUUUCCUACGAUGGUUUUCCGAGAAAAAACCGCAAAUGUUCGCUUUAUCAUUGAGUAGAAAAUGAAAGAAUAAUCGGGACAGGCGAUCGUCAAGGUCACGACGUGCUCUGAUAACGACCACUUUCAUCUCUCCGUUUUGAUUCGAUUUAAUGACAUCUCGGCGAGGACUCGCCAAUUUCUUUGGCGUAUUCUUUAUUUGUAGUUCCGAGUGGAAACUUUGUAAUCGUUCGCUGCGCACAAUCGAAUUUUUUUCGUUUAAAUGUCGUUAUUUUCUUGAGCCCUGGCUAUCUUCCAGCGAAACCUGGAUUUAACUGUGACUGUCGCAAAAAAAAUUUGCAACUGUGGAAAAAAAUUUCAGGGAUGGUUUUCCAUGCCCCUGACCGUUAACAAAUUGUCAUCGAUUUCUAAGGGGGUGACGGUCAGCUGUUGACUCAUUUGACAUGCGUCAAUUUAUAUGCAACAUAAUUACAAUUUUCCAUGUUUUUUGUAGCGCAGGUCAACCCCUGAGAUGUCGAGAUUUCAUCUCUCAGCAGGUUUUACGGUCAAUAAUUCACAGAUUCCUUGAGUACAUCAUCAAUAUUUUUAUAUCAGGUAGAAAUAAUAGUCGAGAAUAUUCCGAAGGUCUAAGUUCUCUUGUUGCAAUUUUUUUAUUCCUCGGAAAGACCGGACUGGGUUGUCUAUAGAAUUCACUGAGUUUUUGAAUUAUAUUUCUGUGAAGGUGGGAAUCCCCUGGUGGAAAUGCACUGACCGUUCUCCUGAAGCCAUUGAUCAUCAAAAUCAUUGUAGAAAUAGAAAGCGCGGGGGACAUGGCUUAUUACACUCUAAAUUUCUAUUCAGCACAGAGGAGAUCGGUAAUAAUUCCCAUUGAGGUUGGCUGUAUGGAACAAGGCAGGCCCAUUGUUACUUUAUUUAGGUAAUCUGUCCCCAUUUGGAUUAAAAAAGGAUUAGACGGGUGGAUGGUGCAAACAUCAAUGAAACAGAAUAAAAGAGAACAAAACACCCGGUCCUUCCUGCUCAUAAAGCUUGGAUUAUCUCAGUAACAAAUGAUUUUAGAAGAAAAUAUCGUAGAGCAUUGUUUGUUCGCAAUUUUAUCCGCUACAAAAAAGGUAUAGGUAUAGUUUCUCCUACAAUUAACGGUUAUUGCCGUAAUGAAGAAAAAUUAAUCGAAAAAAUAUGAAUUUACUACUGGAUUUCCGGCAAUACCACAUAUUUCCUCUGGGUUUGAAAAAAAAUAUCGUCCAACGGAACUGUCCCAUAAGCUGUAUAAAACAGUUGCGCAAUAAUACGAGUGAAAUUGAAACUAGUUUGUUGGAGGUAACGGGUUUAAAGUGACGAGAAUUAUAAUGAUCAUGUGCUAUGCAAAUUUAAAUGCAGGAAGACACGUUGUUAGACCUUCACGUCCUUGGACGGAAACUUGAACAGAUUUUCAUUUUCCAAUAUUUCGGGAAUUUUAACUGAAUUAAAGAUUGAUCAACCUUUCGUGAUCGAAGCUGCAGAGGAUUUUUAAACAUGCAGAGACAUUUACUGCUAGUGGUGAUAAAUUCUUUACCUGGUCCUUUACUUAUUUUAGGAUUUGUUUUCAACUCACCUAGUCAAAUUUCCAAUUAGUUCAAUAUUAUCAUAAUAAAAAAAUUAAUGAAUUAGAAACUAAAUUUAAUUGACGUUCAGAUAGCAAUUUAUUGAAUGAUUACACUUCAUAAACUACGUGGCAUAUAUUCAAUAAAUGCAUUGAUUAUGGCAUUACGUAUUUAUGAACUAAUGACACUUAAUUAUAACUUGGAUAACUUCUACUGUUGAAUAUUCUAUUGAUGCGUUAUCACAUGGAAAUCCCGUUAAAAAUGUAUUAAACAUUACUGCAAUGUUGAUACUGUAUUUAGGGCGCCAUUGGCGUUGCGGUUUGAUGAAUAUUUAUUCAUCAAUGGCUUCAUAAAAAAUUGUCUUAUGAAAAUUAUAAAAAUCAUUGCAAGCGUUUUGAAGUCUCACGUCUGGAAACGUAAAAAAAUGAAGUUGGAGCUUUUUAAUUGUAGAAUCACCUCCGGGCUCUCAUUACUCUAUCACAAGCAUUAAAUAUCUAUCAUCACCUGACCAUUUUGCGAUAAAAUAUCCAGAAAUUUUCCCUGGGGAACUCAAUUCCUCCAAGAGAUGUCCGUAAUCAUCAUAUAAUUUCAUAACCUACGAAUUUCUCUUCAACCUCAUCAAUUACAACUCCGUAAUCAUGUGCGAGGUGAGGGCCUGGACUCUCUUGGCAUUGCAGCUCUUGCACAGUACAUGAUCAUCAAGAGGAUAGCAUCCAGAGCCCUCAGCAUCUGACGAGAGUACAAGACCACAGUCUUCGCACUUGUAACACUGAGGAUGAAAGCUCCUGUCGAGUGCCACAACCCUGACAGUCUCCUCCUCUCCAGGUUCAGGCAUAAUGGGUAGCUUGCAGACGCAACACCUGGGGGCGAAUUUCUUGUGGAAGCACUGGAUGCAGUGAAUCUGAUUAGUGGCAUCUACAGUAAAUGGAAUGCCAUCGAGACUCUGUCCACAGACAACGCAGGUGAAGCAGGACAAGUGAUAAGACUUUCCAGUUGCCCUGAGAAUUCUGUCGAGAAUUGGUCUCGUGCAGACACAGCACUUCUCCAAGGUAUUCAAGUAGUCCUCCUCGCAGUAGGGUUUGUCCUCAAGGGAGUAGAACGUCUUUCCCUGGAGAUUGACCUGACAUACGAAGCAGGAGAAACAGUUGAUAUGAAAGACCUGAUCCAUAACAGAACAGCCAUUACCCUCGCCCUCGACCUUUUCCCCACACUGGGCGCAAAUUCCAUAGAUGUCAUCCUGAUUGUCCUCCAUUCCCUGAACCAGCAAGUGAGUGAGAGUGUCCACCUCUUUAACCGGUGAUACCUUGCUGGGGGGUUGAGUUGAUGUCGCUGAACCAUAGCCCGAGUAAGUGGAGUAGUUGCAGGAGAGUUGAGAGGGAGGUCUGGGAUUGAUGGGCUCGUAGAUGGACUCGUAGGUUGAGGAUGACUGCGAACUGGGACCGUACAGAUCUGGGUAGUUGGAUGGGUACUCUGGUUGGUAGGUAGCUCUGCGGAGCUCCGAGUAGCUCGAUGACACUGGCGAGGGCGGGGGUGGAAGCUCGUCUGGGGGCGGGGGGAAGGUGCUGGGAACGCAGGAGAUGUACUCGGUUGGUCCUGGAGGCGGUGGAGGAAGGUCGUCGUGAUUUGGAAUGUUGGAGUAAGUGUUUUCAGGCUUGUUAUUCCACUGGAUAUUGCUGUAGAUAAUGUCCUUCUCCUUAUUGGCAACCGGAGUGGGUACAGGAAUGGGAAUUGGAACAGCAGGUUCGAUGUUACUGUAAACAGCAUUUCUAGUUGCAUGUCUUGAUCUGUCGUCCACUGGCACUUGAGGGCCAGCAAUGUUGCCUAUGUUGGAGUAGAAAUUCUUCUCGUUUGUAUACAACUUCUCCUGGCUCUCGUUCGUGUAGAAAUGAUCGUUAUUCUGGUAGAAAUUAUUAUCGUUUUUGUAGAAUUUUUCGGUGGAGCCGUGGGACCUCGGGAACACAUUUUUCUCUGGGGGAGCUGAGAAUGGAGCUGGAGAGUUUGCGUAGAGAUUUGUCGUUUUCUCGAUGUUACCUGAGUUGUUCAGGACUGUAGGAUAGGAUGGAGUCAUAGAUGCUUUUAUCGGAUAGCUUUGGGGAACCUGGAGACAUUAAAAAAAAUCAAGUCUGGGUAAAAUUAUUUUUAGAUUUUUCUAUGAGUUACCCCUCUCAAAGAUGACGUUUUAAUUAACAAGACGUAAAAAUAAUUACCUGGGGCUGUGAUUUCUUGGGCUUUGGGGGGACAACCGGCCCCACUUUUUUCCCACUCUUCCCCGCAUUUUGGAAACUCGAUGGGCUACCAUGUUCAAUUUGCAGAUUGGCUAUUUGUUGCUCCAAAUUGCUGACAUUUGACAUCUUCCCCUGGAGAAAAAACCCACUCUAAAUUCUCGCGAAAUCCACCUCACAAUUCUGAAGCCAAACACAGAACUCGAGAUACUCACAAUUUAUUUUAUUAUCCCUGUCUUCACCCAAAGUAGAAUAUUAUUUUCACAACCCUGGUUGCAAUGACAGUCGGCGACUUACUGCGCAGGCCAAGCUUGAGUCAUCACGUUAUCAUCACUCGGUGAAUUCCUUUCUGAUGACUAUCCACCUUCCUCGCCCCACUCCUGUUAAUUUUCGCUGAUCGUUGUCUUCUUGGAGUGAUUUAUUUGUCGAAAAAAUUAACAAUGAGCCGAAUUUGAGGGACAAAAGCUGGCCAACUGAUCUCCGAUCACUUUUUCGUUGUGUUUUUCUUUUUAUUUUCUAUUCGGAGAGGUUACGUGCACUCGCGCAAUAUCAUUGGACGAUACUCGCGACACCUGCGAGAUCGUGGGAGAUAUUUAAACGCUGAUUUUCGGUGACUUGUUUAUUUUUUCAUAAUUUAUAAAUUAAUUGAUUGUUAAAUCUGAUAAACCGCUUUUGCAUGAUAAGAAUGAUAAUUUCCCUCUUUACCUGGAAUCUCCCGAAGCCACUCCAGACUCAAAAGUUCCUAGAAUUACACAGGAAAAAUGGCUAAAAAAUAAAUCAACACAUGAGGUCCUUUUUUCAUCAUUUGUAGAUUUUUUUUCUCAAUGAGAUUUCGUGUUUUAUCUUUUAUUAUGAUUAUUAUGUACGAUUUUCUCAGUUGCGAUAGAGAUUUUACAUUAUACUUUGUAUAUAUAUAUAUUUGUUUUUUUUUUUCAUUUUCGUUAUUCUUUUUUCUAAUAUAUUUAGAUCUCGUGAUGGAUGAGACUGAUUCACCUAUAUUAUUUUUUAAUUAUUAUACUCAUUUUUUACUCGAGCUAAGUAGAUCUGCAGAUUUUUAUCCAUUCUUUCCUCGACAUUUACUCUGUGCACAGAUACCUGUCACUCUUGGUAUUUUGAUUUAUUCAUAAAGUAUUGUAUUUAUUUAGUUUGUAUUCUCUUUAAAUAUAUGCUUUUAUUUCUCUUAUAUGUAAUAUACUUUAUUGUUUUUUUUUUUCAUUUUUUAGUUGAGUGAUUAUUUGUUUAGGUAGUUAAAAUGUCAUAUCUAACCAUUCCUCUCACUUUUCAGUUUCUCCAGAGCUUUCGAAUGAUUGAGACUAUUUUUAACAAUUGUUUGAGGUGUUUGUGCUAGCACCAGGGAGCUCCUCAUCUAAACCAAACA